AUUGGAGUUUUGCUUAUGUUUUUUCCCCUGUAGUGAUAGCAACUUCUUCUAAAUGCAUCUUCCAGGGUCAGGCUGCAUUUGCCCCAUAUUUGACUAUAGAACUAUUGUAGCUAUUUACACUCAACUUGCUGCCAGGGUAGAGCUGAUUCUGUGUGUUGAUUUGUAGGCAAAAGCUACUUAAGUCGUUUAGAUUGAUUCAUCCAGACUUACUUCUCACAUCUCAGUCCAAAGUCAGCAGUUGAUGCAGUUUGUCAGAUGGAAUGAUAUUCAAGAGUCAGUCAGGGUUAUCUUGUCACUGUCUGACUAGGAACAUAUCCCUGAAGGACUUUGGAACUGAGAUCUGUCGACUGGCUACCUUCUUAUUACGAGUAUGACCCAUUGAAUCCUAGAAAAAGCUGGACUUUUCUGAGCAGGAGGUUACAGAAUUAUUAGUUCCUAUUUUUGUACUUCGAAUUAAGAGGAAUUGUGAUGCAUAAAUGUUAUGGCUAUUUAAAUCCAGAUCCACAUGACUAUUGCCUUGCCUUUGCUUUCCUCUAUGGAUGAAAUGAAGUAAUAUUUGCUAGGUAAAUGAUUCUCUUUUCAACUGAUGAAAAAAAAAAUCUAAAGUAUAAAAAAAUGCAAGGGAAACAGAAAGAUGAACAAUUCUGUUCACAAACAGGGGUGUCUCUUGGUUAUCUUGGCACUGUUCGAAAAGGCAAGUGCAGUGUUUUUCAAGAAGAACAAAGCUAAGAGCAAAAUAACAGCAUUUUCUUCCUAAAUAUCAACAUAUUACAAUAUCAGUGUAGCCCAGUUGAGUGGGUUAUACUGUUGAGCAGUGUGUCACCAUAGCUAUAGGCUUCAUAGCCCAUUUGUCUAAAAACCAGCUGAUGAGCAAACUGCUUAAGAGGCUGGUUUUGCUUCCAGGUCCUACUUUUCGCCUUCCAAGCAUUCAAUUAGUCAUAUGAAAAUCAAAAUGCAGGACCUGAAUGGGCCUUUACUUUGAUUCACCAAGAUUCUCUUUAUGUGCUUUAAACACGAGGAAGCCCCAUGCAGAGGAGCUGGCUGGAUUCAAAAAUGCAAAGAUCCAGCUUGUUCUUUUAAAAAAAACAAAUCCACAGUAAUAAAAUUUAAAGAAGCGCACAGCUAACUUGAUUCUUCCAAAAUAACAUCUCUGCUUUUAGUGAACUCAUGAUCUCUUUCAAUCCCUCAGCCCCAUUUCACAUCCUAUUAUAUCGAUUUAGUUUUAUUUUGCACAUCAUUCCCAGUGUUUAAUAAGUAUGUCUCUCCACCUCUACGCUUGUACCGAAUGCUUUGAAUAACUAUUAACUUCUUGGUUAAAAGCAGUUAAUUAUCAACAAGUAAUGUUGCAUAAAAAUACUCCUGGUCCCUUUCUCCUAGAUGUGGGAGAGACCAUAACAGUGACCUUCAGUAACACCUGGUACCUGAAGCUUGCAAAACACCUGAUUUGAAAUAAUAUCACGUUGGUUUAUCUGCUAUCCAAGGUCAGAAACAAUGUGAACAAAUUAUGUUAGUAGAGGCUUGAUGUUUUUCAACACCCAGCUCCUUUUCCAACUAAGAUAUGGCUCAGGAUCUUUAAAAAACAUGACUAAUAAGCAUGUUCCUCCCCUCAGCUGAAAGCUUAGCACACUGAAGCUAAUCUGUGAUAUGUUCUGUGUUACUGAGAAACACGAUGUAGCAGCACAGCCUAUUCUGCCUUCAGUAGCCAGUGGAAAUGUGUUCUGAAUAAAGCUGAUGCCUACUGUGAUCUAGCCUUCCUCUGUUGAGAACCCCUGGUUUAGGAGAAUGAACCUCUAAUUAUUAAUAAACUGUCAUAAAAUCAAGAACUUCCACAAUCCCACUGCUCAGGAAGGAGUUGUUGUGUUUCAAGGGUAGAGUAACGCAGGACUGGAACACAUGAAUGACUUUAAAGCUCUUUUAGCUGUAAAGCACAGGAGAAAAAGACUGGAAGAGAAGUAUUCAUCCUGCUUCCUAUUUGUCCCCCUCCAUCUCACCCUGGGAAAAUAGAAAAAUAAUUUUAAAAGAAUACCAGAGUAUCUCUAAAUUUCAAUAGUAUUGAAGGAGGAUAAGCCCAGAAGCCCUAAAGAUAUCAUUAAGGUGUAUAAUCCAAACACACCACAGUGAAGGAAGAAAAACUGAAAUUAGCAAGACUUACAUGUAAUUGAACCAUAGAUAUCUACAGUAUAUGGUGAGUGAUGCUAGCACGGUUAUAGAUAGAGCAAACAGGAGAUAUAGUCCCAUAGCAUACACAGUCUGAAAUAUAGGCUCAAGUUGCAUCUUGGUUUAAAACAAUGGCCUUCAUACUAACUUCAUUAGAAGGUAAUAUGCAUUGGGACUGAGAUUCAAACUAAAUUAAGUAUUGCUGAAUCUUGGCUUACCCCCAGUAGAUGCUUCUUGGAAAAAUCUGGACACUGUCAAGUGCUGAGUUAAUAGUUUCAGGAUUUGUGUUAUAAUAAACAACCCUUGUAACUGCUAAAAAUCAAAUGUAACUUCACGGAGUCCUGAAUACAAACAUGUUUCCAUUCAGCAUUCUUUUAUAAACCCCAGCAAAGAAAGUCUGUCAUUGAUGCCAGAAGAUUUGGAGGGGAGGGGAAUACGCGUAUGGAUAUUCUAGAUUAAAUUGGUAAGGUAGGAAUGAUUGGACGUGAACGUGGGCUGUUAUGGAUAUAGUUUAUUGCUGAAAGUAAAAGCUGCUCAACUUAUGUAUCACCCAUCCUUUCCUAACCUCAAUAAAGCUGUAUAUGAAAA